rnacentral:rRNA from 1 species
ACGCCCGCUCAAGAAACUUAAAUAGUAAUUCGAGGGGGCCCCGCACAAGCGGUGGAGCAUGUGGUUAAUUCGAUGAUACGCGAGGAACCUUACCUGGGCUCAAAUGUAUGUUGACGUAUUCUGAAAGGGAUACUUCUUCGGACAAUAUACAAGGUGCUGCAUGGUUGUCGUCAGCUCGUGCCGUGAGGUGUCGGGUUAAGUCCCAUAACGAGCGCAACCCCUAUCAUUAGUUGCCAUCAGGUCAAGCUGGGGACUCUAAUGAAACUGCCUACGCAAGUAGUGAGGAAGGUGGGGAUGACGUCAAAUCAGCACGGCCCUUACGUCCAGGGCUACACACGUGCUACAAUGGCCGGCACAAAGGGCAGCUACCUGGUGACAGGAUGCUAAUCUCAAAAGCCGGUCUCAGUUCGGAUCGGAGUCUGCAACCCGACUCCGUGAAGCUGGAAUCGCUAGUAAUCGUGAAUCAGAAUGUCACGGUGAAUACGUUCCCGGGCCUU